rnacentral:rRNA from 1 species
ACGGAAGGCAGCAGUGGGGAAUAUUGGGCAAUGGGCGCAAGCCUGACCCAGCAACGCCGCGUGAAGGAAGAAGGCUUUCGGGUUGUAAACUUCUUUUAUCAGGGACGAAGAAAGUGACGGUACCUGAUGAAUAAGCCACGGCUAACUACGUGCCAGCAGCCGCGGUAAUACGUAGGUGGCAAGCGUUGUCCGGAUUUACUGGGUGUAAAGGGCGCGUAGGCGGGAUAGCAAGUCAGGUGUGUAAUCUAUGGGCUCAACCCAUAAACUGCACUUGAAACUGUUAUUCUUGAGUGUCGGAGAGGUAGAUGGAAUUCCUAGUGUAGCGGUGAAAUGCGUAGAUAUUAGGAGGAACACCAGUGGCGAAGGCGGCUUACUGGGCUCUAACUGACGCUGAGGCACGAAAGUGUGGGUAGCAAACAGGAUUAGAUACCCUGGUA